GUUUUGUUUCUCAUAGUGUUCCGAGUGUGCUGUGGAAGAACUGGUAUAGAUGCGACCGCGAAAGAGAACCUGUUUAAUUCCUCUAUUAUAACGCCCUAUGUUUUUAGUUUUCUAACCGAAAAUUCUGCGGUUCGGCUCUUUGCUUUAUCCGUAACAUCGUCGACCCGUGACCUGUCGGCGGCGUCCAUAACCCUAUAAGAAAGCAUUGAAUUCGGAUUAGAAGAACUGAAAUUUCAAUUUGAUCGAUCCAUUCCCCCCCCCCUUUUUUUUUAAAUCUAUUUUUGUUUUUAGUAUCAUCACCGUCAUCAUUACGCAGUUCAAUUGAAAUAAAAAAUAAAAAAUAUAAUUCUCAUAAA